CAAUCUGCUAAACUUUACAGCAUGUAUCGGAGGGCAUAUGGUGACAUAUGCUGGAUAAGAUGUCUGUUGACAUCGGAAUGGGCGAUUGGGCCAGAUAAGAUCAAUUUCUUAUCUGGCCUUUAUUUUUU
rnacentral:ncRNA from 1 species